GCGGCCGUGGCGGAAUCGGUAGACGCGCUAGCUUGAGGUGCUAGUCCUCGAAAGGGGGUGGAGGUUCAAAUCCUCUCGGCCGCACCA
rnacentral:tRNA from 2 species